GUUACGAUGGCCGAGCGGUCCAAGGCGCUGCGUUCAGGUCGCAGUCCGGUCUUCCGGGCGUGGGUUCGAAUCCCACUCCUGACA
rnacentral:tRNA from 1 species